rnacentral:rRNA from 1 species
UACGAAGGGUGCAAACGUUGCUCGGAAUUAUUGGGCGUAAAGCGCACGUAGGCGGCUUUGCAAGUCGGAUGUGAAAUCCCUCGGCUCAACCAAGGAAGUGCAUCCGAAACUGCAGAGCUUGAGUACCAAAGAGGAUCGCGGAAUUCCCGGUGUAGAGGUGAAAUGCGUAGAUAUCGGGAGGAACACCAGUGGCGAAGGCGACUACCUGGCCUGUUCUUGACGCUGAGGCGCGAAAGCUAGGGGAGCAAACAGGG